rnacentral:rRNA from 1 species
GGGGAACCUGCCCCAUAGUCUGGGAUACCACUUGGAAACAGGUGCUAAUACCGGAUAAGAAAGCGGAUCGCAUGAUCAGCUUUUAAAAGGCGGCGUAAGCUGUCGCUAUGGGAUGGCCCCGCGGUGCAUUAGCUAGUUGGUAAGGUAAAGGCUUACCAAGGCGAUGAUGCAUAGCCGAGUUGAGAGACUGAUCGGCCACAUUGGGACUGAGACACGGCCCAAACUCCUACGGGAGGCAGCAGUA